rnacentral:rRNA from 1 species
CCUACGGGAGGCAGCAGUGGGGAAUCUUGCGCAAUGGGCGAAAGCCUGACGCAGCCAUGCCGCGUGAAUGAUGAAGGUCUUAGGAUUGUAAAAUUCUUUCACCGGGGACGAUAAUGACGGUACCCGGAGAAGAAGCCCCGGCUAACUUCGUGCCAGCAGCCGCGGUAAUACGAAGGGGGCUAGCGUUGCUCGGAAUUACUGGGCGUAAAGGGAGCGUAGGCGGAUAGUUUAGUCAGAGGUGAAAGCCCAGGGCUCAACCUUGGAAUUGCCUUUGAUACUGGCUAUCUUGAGUUUGGGAGAGGUGAGUGGAACUCCGAGUGUAGAGGUGAAAUUCGUAGAUAUUCGGAAGAACACCAGUGGCGAAGGCGACUCACUGGCCCAAUACUGACGCUGAGGCUCGAAAGCGUGGGGAGCAAACAGGAUUAGAUACCCUGGUAGUCCACGCCGUAAACGAUGAGUGCUAGUUGUCGGCAUGCAUGCAUGUCGGUGACGCAGCUAACGCAUUAAGCACUCCGCCUGGGGAGUCGGUCGCAGNUAAACUCAAAGGAAUUGAGG